rnacentral:rRNA from 1 species
AGAUUGAACGCUGGCGGCAUGCCUAACACAUGCAAGUCGAACGGGAGUAGCAAUACUCUAGUGGCGGACGGUGAGGAAUACGUAGGAAUUUGCCCUUAAGUGGGGGAUAACCCGGGAAACCCGGAUUAAUACCGCAUGACCUCGAAGAGCAAAGUGGGGAUCGCAAGACCUCACGCUUUGGAGAAGCCUACGUCGGAUUAGCUAGUUGGUGAGGUAAUGGCUCACCAAGGUCGACGAUCCGUAAAAAAACCUGGUCUCGAGACGGAUGAUCAGUCGACACCGGAACCGUUGAGUACACGGUCCGGACGUCCUACGGAGGUCAGCAGUGGGAA